rnacentral:rRNA from 1 species
GGAAGCGGUAACAGCUCAAAUUUGAAAUCUGGCUCUUGCGGAGUCCGAGUUGUAAUUUGUAGAAGAUGCUUUGGGUUGUGGGUUCGGCCUAAGUUCCUUGGAACAGGACGUCAUAGAGGGUGAGAAUCCCGUAUGUGGCCGAGGCCCGCGCCUAUGUAAAGCUCUUUCAACGAGUCGAGUUGUUUGGGAAUGCAGCUCAAAAUGGGUGGUAAAUUUCAUCUAAAGCUAAAUAUGGGCCAGAGACCGAUAGCGCACAAGUAGAGUGAUCGAAAGAUGAAAAGCACUUUGGAAAGAGAGUUAAACAGUACGUGAAAUUGUUGAAAGGGAAGCGCUUGCAACCAGACUUGGGCGCUGCCGAUCACCUUGAGUUUUCUCGAGUGCACUCGACAGCGCACAGGCCAGCAUCGGUUCGGGUGGCUGGAGAAAGGCCGUAGGAAUGUGGCUCUCUUCGGGGAGUGUUAUAGCCUACGGUGCCAUGCAGCCCAGCCGGACCGAGGACCGCGCCUUCGGGCUAGGAUGCUGGCGUAAUGGUUGUAAGCGACCCGUCUUGAAACACGGACCAAGGAGUCUAACAUCUAUGCGAGUGUUUGGGUGGUAAACCCAUACGCGGAAUGAAAGUGAACGUAGGUGAGAACCCCUUUGGGGCGCAUCAUCGACCGAUCCUGAUGUCUUCGGAUGGAUUUGAGUAAGAGCAUA